UACGUAGGGUGCAAGCGUUGUCCGGAAUUAUUGGGCGUAAAGAGCUCGUAGGCGGCUCGGAAAGUCGGGCGUGAAAUGCCGGGGCUCAACCCCGGGACUGCGUCCGAUACUUCCGAGCUGGAGGUAGGUAGGGGAGAUCGGAAUUCCUGGUGUAGCGGUGAAAUGCGCAGAUAUCAGGAGGAACACCGGUGGCGAAGGCGGAUCUCUGGGCCUUACCUGACGCUGAGGCGCGAAGGCCAGGGGAGCAAACGGG
rnacentral:rRNA from 1 species